GCGGAAGUAGCUCAGUUGGUAGAGCACGAUCUUGCCAAGAUUGAGGUCGCGGGUUCGAGUCCCGUCUUCCGCU
rnacentral:tRNA from 1 species